AAUAGUCGAGAGACUAUCUAAAAAAAAAAAAAAACUAGUUACUAUUUCAUCUCUCUCUCUCUCUCUCUCUCUCUCUCUCUCAAAUCCCUAAUUUCUUUUUCUCUCGUUGAUUGCUUCUGAUCUUGGCAACAAUUUCAUCAUCGAGGAGUCUCAUAACGUCUCUCUCCAUUGUGAUUUCAGUAUUCGGGUUUGAUCGAUUAAUCAAUUUCAGUCUGAUAGAUUUGAUUUUUGAUCUAUUGUUUGUAUUUAUUCGAAAAUGCUUAUUUAUCGGUGUAAUGUUUGUGUUGAUGAUUUCACUUCGUUGUACUGAUUUAUGAUGUGCUGGUUCAAAUACACAAUCAUUGAAAUGUAAUAUUAAUUUUGGUGCUGAGAUUUGAUGAUUCUGUUAAGUACUACUAGUUGUUUUGAUCCAUGAAAAUGUUUCACUGGUUUAAGCAAAUCUCCAAUAAUGGCAAACUUGAGAGACGCCUCUAGGUGAAAUAGAUCUUGAUGUUUUCUUACCGAUACUUCUGCUACUAGUUGAGAGUCAAUAUGUUCAACAUUUGGCAGGCAACAUUCUUAUGGCCAUCUCUGAUUACUUGCAUCUGUAUGUGAAAAUUUGCUACCUUGAAAUUUCAAUUUCUCUUUUUUUUUUUUCUUUUUUUUUUUUCUUGUGAUUUAUCUUGCAAAACUAUAUGUUGAACAUAUUGACUCUCAAUUAGUAGCAGAAGUAUUUGGUUUAAGCAAAUCCAUGAAAAUAUUAUUUCUCUUAUCAAAUAAUUUAGCUGCAAUUGAUGAUUUUAAUUAUUUUUUUUUUAAUCCCUUGAGGGAUUCAUUCUAGGUGAAGUCUUACACUUCACAAUUUCAAUUUCAAUAAUAGUUUUGUCAAAGUUCACUUUAUUUCAUGACUUGAAAUGCAAAUUACAAUUCUCAAAAUUGAAAAGAAUUAGGCCAAAUUCUGUAAUUUUCAGCUGAAAUUUUAAAAAAUAAGACUUCCAUGCAAUUCAUAUAGAUUUUUAGUGGGUCGAAAAGCAAGCACUUCUUUUUUAUGUAGGUCGAAAAGCAAGAACAUAGGGGAAAAUGGGUGCAUAUGGAUCCAUUCAACAACAUGAAUGUUAAGAAUUUUCUUAAUGUUGUGUUUGAAUUUGUUGAAGGAAAAGAACAAGCUGCUUCUUUUUUUGGUCUGUGUGUGUGUGAAAUCAGUAACAUUACAGAGUGAAGAGAGGGAGAAGAAUAAAAUUCCAUGAGUCUGAUAAUUUUUUAGCACCAUCCAUUUCUGUAUUUUGAAAAGUUGCUCACUAGCUUGCAUUUUUAUUUAUUUAUUUAUUUAUUUUGAGUAAAGUCCAUUUGUAUGAAAAUUUUCCUUAAAAGUUAGUCAUUUUUUUUGGAUAUGGUGUUUUAGAUUGAUUGUGAUAACAACUAACGCAAUUAAGAACGCAGUUAUUGCUUUCCGGAGAUAGAGACCUAAAUGUUCUUGCUAAAUGGCCAUGGGUGAAAAUGGAAGAGGACUUCCUGAAGCUGUCACAAAUGUUCAAUGCGAUGAAAUCUAUUGUUCGUGUGCCCACUGUUGAUCCCAAAUACAAGAUUGCAGUUCUUGCUUCAAAGCAGAUGUGUUGCGUAUAGUCACAAUUGAGGCAAGGUUUUGGAGGCAGUUUCAAUUUCAAGACUGCUAUGUAGCUCCAAAUCUCCCCCCCUCCUUUAGUUUCUUGGAGGAAAUCAUCCUUGGGAGUGGUCAAAACUUUGUAUUAGAGGUUAAGAAUCAUUGAUUAGAGGAAACUAAAACCUGUUGAGAAAUGGUAACAAUCCUUUCUACUUUUGUUUUGAUGUUUCAAAGAUAUUUUGCUGUGCUGAGGACACUUAAGUUUAACUGAAGUUUAAUAUCUUCUAAUGUAAUAGAUUUUAUUUAUUAUUUUAUUAUGAUACUGGAAACUAGUUAUUAGACCAUGGUAUUUAUCAUUAAUGUGCAUAUCUUUGUUGGAGCUUUUUCAUAAUGGUUAUUUCUGUAGGGUUAUAACCCUUUAGGCAUUCGAGGUUGAAGUUGGUAGUAAUGAUAAAGUGUUCCUGUUGAAGUUUGUGAAUUACUAGAUGCUGUUUCUGCCUAUGACAUGAUCAAUUUUAUAUAAGAUCACAACUUGUCAUUGAAUAGAAUUGAAGGUUGGUGUAGUUAACAAUAAAGUGUUCCUAUUAAGGUUUCUGAACAACUAGAUGCUGUUUCUGCCUAUGGCAGAGCCAAGAUUUGAACUCCUCAUGCUUAUAUUAGCUGUGAUAACAAAUGUGGAAUGGGAGCAUGUAGAUAUCUUUGAAAAUGAGGGUGGUGGGUGACUCCAGUAUUGAAAGCAAAAUAUUUAUUUACUUAAAUAAGGCCCUCGCUCUCUUCGUUUUAAGGUGCAAAUUGGGUACUUAUCUUCCAAUGUUGGGAGCUCAACAGAGUUAAAGGUAUUUCUGCUUUCACAACUAGUUUAUACAAGAGAAUUCAUGAAGUUUUUUAUUUUUUAUUUUUGAAGUUAAAGUGAUAGAAUUUGCAAAAAAAAUUAUAUUUUAUUUUGGUUUGUUUUACCUUGGAUAUCGUAUAAACAUAGUACAUUGGGCACAAAAUGCAUAUUUACUGACACACACAGUGUAUGAUGCUGACUUUCUGUUUUCUGUAUGCGUACAAUGUUUUCCUAAUUCUACUUUUGCCAAUUGUCAUCAACUUUUGUAGAAAUGUUUUAUAUAUCUUUUUUAUCUGUCCCGUUGUUUAUGAAUCUUUAACCUGCAUUGCCCUCUCAGAUUGCAUACAUGUUUCACCACUAUUCUAAAGUGGUUUCAGAAAAUGUUGGAUAUAGAAUUCCCAUAUGAUUGAUGGUUGCUAGUUUUGAAUUGUCCAUUUAUAAUGUUUAAACAAUAUCCAAAUUUGGAUGUAAUUUUAUUGGUAAUUUUAAAAGCUGUUUCCACUUUCUUAUGUAAUUACUUAGUAUUUAGUAAUAAGAUCGUAAAAAAAGGUUUUUAAUUAAUGGGAUAUUAUUUCUUCUGACCUAGGACUUUAUUUAGUUCAUGGAGACAGUGGCAUAAGUGGUAAUCAGUGAACAAGAUUUGCUGUGUAAAUUAGUUUCUGAUUCUUCAUAAAGUUGUUAUAAAUGCAACUUAGCAUAUGAGGUGUAUUUAAGUUGAAGAACUUUCAAUACUAGUAACUGAUAUGAUUGCUUGCUGGAACACCAUUUCUUAUUUCAGAUGUUGGAAAUCUCAUGCUUUCAUACAACAUUAGUUUCCUAUGACCCUCAUCAAAUUUCUCGAAAUUCCUUGCAAAUGCUGAGUAUGAUGUUAUGUAACUGAUAGCAGCUAUUGAAUCAAAAAAAGGUGAAGGAUGGAUGAAACUCUGCUAAAAGUGUGUGAGGGGUUUAUCUUGCGCUGUCAAUUAUAAUGGUAGAGAUAAAAUGGAGUUCAAGGUGGACUUUAGUUUAGAGUUCAGAAAUAGUUGUUUAAGAGCAAGUCUCACAUAGAAUUAGACAGUGAGAGGACUGCUUGCUAUGAAGAUUAGAACCUGUUCUAUUGUUAGAAGUUUUGGAGUGUUUUUUUUUUUUUUUUUUAAUGAUGGGGCUUUUGGUCAGUGAUUUAUGAACUGUUGAAUUUUACAGGAUUAGCUCCGACUUUCAAUCUUUUGAUGGAAAGAUACUGAAUUUUAAAAAAUUUCAUUUCAUGAUGAUGAAUGGGAUUUGGGCAGUUUGCUAUGUUUUUCUGUACAUCUGAUGAAUGGGAUUAGGCAAUUUGCUUGUGCAAUGAGCUUUUUCUCGAUGUAUGAGUUUCAAAAUUUCUUCAUUUCAUUGUCUAUUCUACUAGGCAAAUGUUUAUGUUGCCUUUGCACUGUAAUUAAUUCAUGAAACUGUCUAAAGUGCUGUUGUAUGUCAACAUGAAUUAUUACUCUCUUGUAAGUAUAAUAGUAUGAAUUUUCUUUGGUUUGUUGUGCUUGUAUUAGGUCGCUCUAAGAAUGAGAUUUAGGAGGUUGAAAAUGGUUUGAAUGACACUACAACAAGCUGCAGCCCUAUCUGUUCUGACUUUAGCUGCUCUGGCUGUGGCUCGUACUGCAGCCUUGCUUGUGUUGACCUGGCCUGGUCUUGCUGCAGCUGGGGCUGCUGCGGCUGGGAAUGCUGCCUUGGCUGCAGUGGCUGGCUUUGGCUUAUGCUUUGUGUGAUCUGGCUUAUCAAAUCUGAAUUGGUGCUUGGUUGGUUGCCCCUAUAUGGUUUGCAGUUUUAGAUUGGAAUUUGUAAAACACAGGGUCACUUCAGAAUGUUGAAGCAUGUCAUGGUUAGUUCAUUUUGCAUGUGUAUUUGGAAUUAACUAGUUGAAGCAUGUCAUGGUUAGUUCAUUUUUCAUGGCUGUUGGGGGAGGGUAUCUUUGUCUUAGGUUUCUUUUGUUCAUUUUCUUAGGAGACAUAUAGUUCUUACUAGUGUCCAUUUUCUUUUUCUUUUUUUCUUCAUUUUCUUUUUUUUUUUUAAACUUCACGUGUACAUAUAGUUCUUGCUUCUGUAGCUCACACUAGCACAUUUAUUUUUUUUAAAAAACGUCUUUCCAUUUCUCAUUGAUAUGUGAGGCAUUGCAUAUCUUGUGCUAUUAUGUUUUCUCAAUCUUCUCAGGAAAGUCGUGCCAUGUUCAAAUGUUGUAGUAGAAUGAGAGGUGGAGAUGCAAAGACUAUAGAUCCGAGGUGGAGAUUACUUUUGGCAUGAAAUAUAUUACCAUUGGCAUGGUAUAGAUUACUAGAUAUUUCUUUUGUGUACGGAGGAUAUUAUUUUUAUAUGAUUACCUGUUUGUAUGGAAUUAUUAUUUUGGGUUGAAUUAUAUUUGAUUUGUAUAGAAUUUGAUGUUAAAAGACUAAAUUUUUGGAUAGUUGACAGUGAAAUAGAAAUAGGCAUAUGUAUUGUUUUAUUUA